GCCGAAUGAGUUUCUGACCUAUCAACUCGAGACGGCGGGGUAGAGGCCCGCCGCGGUAACGACGGGUAACGGGGAAUCAGGGUUCGAUUCCGGAGAGGGAGCCCGAGAAACGGCUACCACUUCCAAGGAAGGCAGCAGGCGCGCAACUUACCCUAAUCUCGAUUCGAGGAGGUAGUGACAAGAAAUACCGAUGCGGGACCCUACGGGUGCCGCGUUCGGAAUGAGUACGAUUCGAACCACCUAACGAGGAACGAUCGGAGGGCAAGUCUGGUGCCAGCAGCCGCGGUAAUUCCAGCUCCAAUAGCGUACGUUAAAGUUGCUGCAGUUAAAAAAGCUCGUAGUUGAAACGUUCGGGUUCCGCGGGACGGGGCCGCCCCGCGAGGGACGGCGCCGCCCCGGGGCUCGUGAUAUCUCAUCUCGCCGCCCGUCGCGAGGCGGACGGAGGGAUGGAUGAGGUUACCUGGAAAAAAAUC
rnacentral:rRNA from 1 species